AGACUAUUAGUUUAAGCAAAACAUUUGAUUUCGGCUCAAAAAACCACGGUUCAACCCCGUGACUGUCUU
rnacentral:tRNA from 1 species